UUGAAUAAACUUGAACAAGCUGUUUUUUUUAUGCUGGCUUCCUUUAUAGAGGCAUGUGCACGCUUGUCAUUUUUAUGUUUCCAACUGUGCAUCUAUUGUAGAUCUUGGAAGAUUAAAUUAUUUUCUGUAGUUUGAGGACUGCUGUUGCUUUGCCAAAAGGUCAGCUUUGCCUUGAAUUUUCCAAGUCUAUGUUUUGUUUUACAAACCUCUUAAUAUGUUUAGAAUGUUGAAACUGAGUUGAUAAUAAAUUAUACAACUUUCAGCAACGGAUCUCUUGGCUCUCGCAUCGAUGAAGAACGCAGCGAAAUGCGAUAAGUAAUGUGAAUUGCAGAAUUCAGUGAAUCAUCGAAUCUUUGAACGCAUCUUGCGCUUCUUGGUAUUCCGAGGAGCAUGCCUGUUUGAGUGUCAUUAAGUUCUCAACCAUAUUGAUUUUUUUUUAAUGUGGCUUGGAUAUUGGAAGCCUGCAGGGUCAUGUUUUAUUAUUAUACAGAUCUGCUCUUCUAAAAUGCAUUAGUGGUAUCUGAGCAAAAAGCUACUACAGAUGUGAUAAAUUUUAUUUACAUCUUGAAUGUGCUGCAUAAACAGAUUAUACUGCUUCUAAUUCACAAAGGUGAAUAUAUUUAUGAUACAUUUGACCUCAAAUCAGGUAAGACU
rnacentral:rRNA from 1 species